ACUCCUCAUUUAAUUGUAUGAAUUCCAACUGAAAUCAGUGGGGAGAUUAAACAGGAGUUGGGAGAUUCAAUACUCUGCUGAGUUCUGGCCACCAAUAUCAGUGCACUGCUUAACUCAUAAACUAUAUUUACAAUUUUUGCUCAUAUUCAUCCACUGACACGUUUCAGGUGCUUAUAGAUGCUUCUAAUAGUGUGCCGUAAAUCACUGUAAAGAACUGAAAUACAAUUUUUAGAGUUCAAAUGGGAAUACUCAAUAGAUGUGACUGUUUGCAGGAUCAGGACCUAUUUUCCAGAACAGGUGCUUAAAUGAAAUGAUGAAGUCAUUAUAGUUGAGGAACUUAAUACAGAGAAAUAGCUCACAUUAUUCUAGUACCUAUAGGGCUCUGGCAUAAAUGCCUAAAUUAAAAAUUUGAGAACUUAUUAGGGGGGAGGAUUAGAUUUGGCAUUUCAAUUGGAGAGGAUUUUGUGGAUGUGGGGAAAAAAAAUAACUUCUUUUUUUGUGCAUGUAGAAGAAUUUUUUACCACCUGGAAAAGUUGCAUGGUUUUGACAUCACUUCCAGUUUUUUUCUGCUUUUGAAUUUGCUCCCUUUCUAUGCCACAAGCCUCCUUAGUGCUACAAAAAUCAGUUUGCUCUCGGAACAUGCAUGUGUUCAGGAAAGUACAAAAUGUCUAUCGGAAAGGCAGUAUAGUGCACUCUUUGUGGUCAGAGUGUGGGAAACUCCAUUUAGCUCAUUUUCAUGACAGAAGCACUGAACCACAUUAACACAGAAGGAAGAUGUAGAAAACGUUUAAUGGUACUGGAACGCUUUGUUUAUUCUUAGCUAAGCCUACACGGCUUCCAAAUGAGCCCACUAUGCAGUGUGACUACAUAAGGUUAACUGCUGGGUACAUUAAGCAAAAUACUCUCUCUUAGAUGCUUGUUUAAGUCAUCAUUUCUGACCAUUUAUCAGACUUAAUGUGCUACAGCAGACUGCAGGUCACAAUGUGUCAUUUCCAAAAGAACUUUGACUUUUCCCUUUCCAGGGUCAGGAACCGGUAAUGUUUAGCUGAAAUCACUGCCCUGCACUUCAUAGCUUCCAGUGAGGCUUUGGAGAGUUGCUCUUGCUAGACCAGAGUGCUGGUUCCAAGUAUUCAGUACUAAAAUUGGAGGACACUGUUUAAGUACAUAUAGACAGCUGAGUUUCAAUCUAGCUGCAGAAUAUCCCACUUCAUUUUUGAGAUCAUGAGAGAUACAGGAUGACUGAUUUCCCAAAAUGAUAGUGGGAUAUGUUAGAUAAAAAUGCCAAAAACAAGCACCCUCACUUGACAAAGGUUAUUUGUAUGGAAUUCAAGAAAAACUGUAUAUUUGGGGGUACAAUUUUUAACAUGCCAGGUGAGUAUUUCUUCUAUUCCUUAGUUCCAGGUAAAACAAUGCGGCUACUUAUCCAAUGAGUUCUGUGGUUAAGUGAAUUUGCAACAAAAAAAAAUGUGCUUGAUGCCUUUACUCUCCUUUUUAAUCUAGAAAAUAUGUGGAAUUUUCAGAUCUAUAUGCUUUCUUCAGGUUGGUCUCACGUUGAUGGAGAUGCAACAAAGAUAAAACAGAGACCCUGAGUCCUACUCAUGUCCCUACGAUUGUCUCUGUAUUUUAUCCAUCAACAUCUGAAUGCUAAUCACUCAAAAAUCCUGAGAGCGGAGACAGACUCCAAGGGCUUCCCCUCAGAAGGCCUAGAGUCACAGUCUGCCUUGUGCUUUCUGCGAUGCCCCUUCAGCGUCAUGUCCCUUCAUUCAUAGCUGGACAGUGUGAGCCAAAGUGGAGGAGAUGUCUUUUCAGCCACACCUGGUAGAAGAAAUCUGCAACCAUGGCACUUGACACAGAUCCUCUUUGACGCUGAACUGACAAGUUACUUGCAGAGUUUGAAUGGAGCAAAGGGAAAUUUUUCCAGAGGAAGCUACAAAUUUGCAGCAACUGCCAAGGAGGUGUGCAGCCAGUGCAAAGGUGUUACAUCCAGAGGUGCUAAGUACCUGAGCUCCUUCCUGACACCAGUGGGGCAGAAUGCUCUGCAUCUCUCUGAAGCACUUUGUCUGGACCUCUCUCAGCUGACCCACGGUUCUUUGUACCUUCUUGCUCCCUGCCUUGGCACCCAAGGUCACAGUUUAUAAAUGCACAGGGUCCAACUCUGCCCCGUCCCCUUGUUGCUGCUGCUGCUGGAACUAUUCACUUUUGGAUGUCUUGCUGAGAGAAGCUUUG
ensembl:lncRNA